ensembl:lncRNA
UAUUUUGAGUUAGAUGCCAAAAGCUCUCCUCCUAUUCAAAUUUGACAUUGAAGUGGUGCAUACAACAUAUUUGUAUAUGCAAAUACGCAGAUUUAAAUACGAUUUUCAAGAAAAACAAAAACCUGGGGAAAAUAAAUGCAGAACAUGUUCACUUAGGAAACUAUUAACAUGACUAUAUGUAUGAAACCAUUCAGAAAAAUUUGGGCACAAAUGGGUUAAUGUUUUUCUUUUUAUUAAUCAUCUUAUUAAUCAUGUUAGAAUCUCAAACAGUGUAAUCUUUUAAACAUCUAAAGUGAAAUCUGAUGCUUCUUUCUCAGCUCGUCUGCCUGUUCCUGUCAUCAGUAACUUUUCAAACUGUUCAUCAUCAUCAUCUUCUUCUUCAUCAUCAUCAUCACAGCAGAAUUGUUCAUUGUUGUGUUCAGUGGUGAAUGUGGGUCAUGUGACUCUCUCCUGGUACAAAGGAAACAGUUUAUUGUCCAGCAUCAGUGUGUCUGGUCUCAGCAUCAGUCUCUCUCUACCUCUGGAGGUGGAAAAUCAGGAUAAAAACAGCUACAGCUGUGUGAUCGACAAUCCCAUCAGCAACCAGACCACACAUCUGAACAUCACUCAACUCUGUAACACAUGUUCAGCUGUUACAGAGCAGUCUCCUUCACAUCCUCCAGAUUCAGUGUCUCCUAUAUUGCUGGUUUCUGCUGUUGCUGGAUCCCUGUUGAUUGUAGCUGCAGUCGGGAUAUUUUGCAUCUGCAGGAAACACAAGUAAACCUAUCAAGAAGGCAAGUGGUACAAACAAGUGUUAUUACAAAUUACUCACACAAAACACAAUUCUGUAUUUCUCAAAACUGCAUCAAGACACACUAUAAACACAAAAAUGCUAAUCUAAAUUAUUUCAAUAAUAAUAAUAAUAAUAAUAAUAAUAAUAAUAAUAAUAAUAAUUCCCAACACUUUAUGACCAUACUUCAACACCUUUAAAGAUCCAGCUCUCUACUGGUGUUCAAAUUAACAUUUCUAUGUUAACGUUUCACUUGAGCUUCAAAGAAUAUUAGAUUUCACCAUACAAAAAUACAGCUAAUUACUUUUAUUAAAAGUUCCUCUGGGUUUGAUUUUUAAAUUAUCUGCAAAAAAAAAAAAAAAAUAAUUUUAAUGAUAAAUUCACAGGACUUGUUUGUAUAAGUGAAACAGCUAUAAAUGUCUAUAUGAAUUAGUUAAUAUCACUAAAAACAAGUGAGCAUUAAACAUAUUUCUGUGCAUUAACACUUUAACAGCUUUGAACAAGANUGUCCAUAUAAUGAUAAAUUAAUAUUAAUAUUUCUCUUUUUUGUAGGAAGCUGACGUUCUUCUUCUUCUGUGGUUUUUUGGCGCGUCGCGUCCUGUGCGCAGAUCGCCUCCCACCCCGCGCCGCGGUGUAACCGCGCAUGACGCCACUGUUUCGAACCGAGACAUUCGGGUAAUUAAAAGGAUUAGUAGUUAAAGGGAUACUCCA